rnacentral:rRNA from 1 species
CUGCGGCUCAAUUGAACUCAACACUGAGGAAUUACAGGUCCAGACAAUGGGAGGAUGACAGAUUGAUAGCUCUUUCUGAAUUCUUUGGGUGGUGGUGCAUGGCCGUUCUUAGUUGGUGGAGUGAUUGUCUGGUAAUUCCGAUAACGAACGAGACCUUAACCUACUAACUAGACAGAAGUGUUAUUACACUUGAGGCUUCUUAGAGGGACUGUGUGGUAAAACCUCAAGGAAGUUUAAGGCAAUAACAGGUCUGUGAUGCCCUUAGAUGUCCUGGGCUGCACGCGUGCUACACUGAUGCACUCAAUUAGUUCCUGUUCCGAAAGGUAAUGGGCAAUCUUGAAAAUGCAUCGUGAUUGGGAUAGAUCUUUGGAAUUAUAGAUCUUAAACGAGGAAUUCCUAGUAAGCGUAAGUCAUCAGCUUGCGCUGACUACGUCCCUGCCCUUUGUACACACCGCCCGUCGCUCCUACCGAUUCCGAGUGAUUUGGUGAACCUUUUGGACUUGCUCCCGCGAGAAAAUUAAGUAAACUGAAUCACUUAGAGGAAGGAGAAGUCGUAACAAGGUUUCCGUAGGUGAACCUGCAG